UUGAACGCUGGCGGCAGGCCUCACACAUGCAAGUCGAAUGGUAACAGGAAACAGCUUGCUGUUUCGCUGACGAGUGGCGGACGGGUGAGUAAUGUCUGGGAAACUGCCUGAUGGAGGGGGAUAACUACUGGAAACGGUAGCUAAUACCGCAUAACGUCGCAAGACCAAAGAGGGGGACCUUCGGGCCUCUUGCCAUCAGAUGUGCCCAGAUGGGAUUAGCUAGUAGGUGGGGUAACGGCUCACCUAGGCGACGAUCCCUAGCUGGUCUGAGAGGAUGACCAGCCACACUGGAACUGAGACACGGCCCAGACUCCUACGGGAGGCAGCAGUGGGGAAUAUUGCUCAAUGGGCGCAAGCCUGAUGCAGCCAUGCCGCGUGUAUGAAGAAGGCCUUCGGGUUGUAAAGUACUUUCAGCGGGGAGGAAGGGAGUAAAGUUAAUACCUUUGCUCAUUGACGUUACCCGCAGAAGAAGCACCGGCUAACUCCGUG
rnacentral:rRNA from 1 species